CGGGCAGUAGCGCAGUUUGGGUAGCGCACCACCUUGGGGUGGUGGGGGUCGCUGGUUCAAAUCCAGUCUGCCCGACCA
rnacentral:tRNA from 1 species